rnacentral:lncRNA from 1 species
UCCUGCUUUAUUUUUUUUUUAUUUAAUUCUUUAUUCCCCAGCUCACUAGGCUAAAUAAUCGAUCUAAACUGUCAAUCCAGACUGGUUUUUUAGAAAGGGAUCCGGAUCACGGAACCACGUUUUUAAACCUUGGUUGCAAUUGUUAUGAUCAAUGAUAGAUGAACAAUUUGUAACAAAUUUGUCAAAAUUUGCUAAAAUAACGAGAGAAAUCAAAAAAUUUUGAUUUCGACAUAAAAAGUUACAAAAGAAACCUCAAAGAAGGUUUGUAGCAUCACCCCGUUCUCAAGAGAAACAAUGAUGCCGAAAUCUACUCAAACCUCCAUAUAUAAAAGAUAA